rnacentral:rRNA from 1 species
UACGAAGGGGGCUAGCGUUGCUCGGAAUCACUGGGCGUAAAGGGAGCGUAGGCGGGUUCUUAAGUAAGGUGUUUAAUCCCGGGGCCCAACCCCGGACCGGCACUUUAAACUGGGAAUCUUGAAUAGUGGAGAGGUCGGUGGAAUUGGGGGGUGUAGCGGUGGAAUGCGUAGAGAUCCCCAAGAACACCAGUGGCGAAGGCGGCUCACUGGUCCGGUACUGACGCUGAGGUGCGAAAGCGUGGGGAGCGAACGGG